GGAAGCUCCGGGCAGAGCUGGGUGAGCGAGGGGGAGAAGGAGCCGGAACGGGAACAUUUAAUUGGUUUUUAAUUUUAUUUUGGUUCCAUUUCAAACUUUGGUUCCUCUUCCCUCAGCCAAGUGCGACGCCACCAUCCGGAUCUUCACGGUGGAGCUCGGGGAGCGGCACACGAAAAUCGGGGAACUCACGGCCGAUGUGGGUGAGUGGAUCUCGUUAUUCUGCAUUUUGGGGGGAAUUGGGUAAAAAAUUGGCACUG